UUUUAAAGAAAUGAAUUAAUUUACUCUUUAAAUUUUAUUUCUAAUGGCAUACCUAUGUAAUUACUUACAAAAAAUAAGGUUACAUUUAAAAUGUACUUCCCAAAUAAUAUAGAAGGAUGUGAAACUAGAUAAAAAAACGUUGUAUUAUCGGUCAGAUUUUUCUUUUACGUUUUAUUUAUUUUCCU
rnacentral:sRNA from 1 species